rnacentral:rRNA from 1 species
AUUGAACGCUGGCGGCAGGCCUAACACAUGCAAGUCGAACGGUAACAGGAAGAAGCUUGCUUCUUUGCUGACGAGUGGCGGACGGGUGAGUAAUGUCUGGGAAACUGCCUGAUGGAGGGGGAUAACUACUGGAAACGGUAGCUAAUACCGCAUAACGUCGCAAGACCAAAGAGGGGGACCUUCGGGCCUCUUGCCAUCGGAUGUGACCAGAUGGGAUUAGCUAGUAGGUGGGGUAACGGCUCACCUAGGCGACGAUCCCUAGCUGGUCUGAGAGGAUGACCAGCCACACUGGAACUUAGACACGGUCCAGACUCCUACGGGAGGCAGCAGUGGGGAAUAUUGCACAAUGGGCGCAAGCCUUAUGCAGCCAUGCCGCGUGUAUGAAGAAGGCCUUCGGGUUGUAAAGUACUUUCAGCGGGGAGGAAGGGAGUAAAGUUAAUACCUUGGCUCAUUGACGUUACCCGCAGAAGAAGCACCGGCUAACUCCGUG